rnacentral:tRNA from 1 species
GGGAAUGUAUCUCAGUUGGUAGUAGAGUUGGUUUGUCGAGCCAAAGGUCGUGGGUUCGAGCCCCACCAUUCUCG